GGUUAAGCGACUAAGCGUACACGGUGGAUGCCCUGGCAGUCAGAGGCGAUGAAGGACGUGCUAAUCUGCGAUAAGCGUCGGUAAGGUGAUAUGAACCGUUAUAACCGGCGAUUUCCGAAUGGGGAAACCCAGUGUGAUUCGUCACACUAUCAUUAACUGAAUCCAUAGGUUAAUGAGGCGAACCGGGGGAACUGAAACAUCUAAGUACCCCGAGGAAAAGAAAUCAACCGAGAUUCCCCCAGUAGCGGCGAGCGAACGGGGAGCAGCCCAGAGCCUGAAUCAGUGUGUGUGUUAGUGGAAGCGUCUGGAAAGGCGCGCGAUACAGGGUGACAGCCCCGUACACAAAAAUGCACAUGCUGUGAGCUCGAUGAGUAGGGCGGGACACGUGGUAUCCUGUCUGAAUAUGGGGGGACCAUCCUCCAAGGCUAAAUACUCCUGACUGACCGAUAGUGAACCAGUACCGUGAGGGAAAGGCGAAAAGAACCCCGGCGAGGGGAGUGAAAAAGAACCUGAAACCGUGUACGUACAAGCAGUGGGAGCACGCUUAGGCGUGUGACUGCGUACCUUUUGUAUAAUGGGUCAGCGACUUAUAUUCUGUAGCAAGGUUAACCGAAUAGGGGAGCCGAAGGGAAACCGAGUCUUAACUGGGCGUUAAGUUGCAGGGUAUAGACCCGAAACCCGGUGAUCUAGCCAUGGGCAGGUUGAAGGUUGGGUAACACUAACUGGAGGACCGAACCGACUAAUGUUGAAAAAUUAGCGGAUGACUUGUGGCUGGGGGUGAAAGGCCAAUCAAACCGGGAGAUAGCUGGUUCUCCCCGAAAGCUAUUUAGGUAGCGCCUCGUGAAUUCAUCUCCGGGGGUAGAGCACUGUUUCGGCAAGGGGGUCAUCCCGACUUACCAACCCGAUGCAAACUGCGAAUACCGGAGAAUGUUAUCACGGGAGACACACGGCGGGUGCUAACGUCCGUCGUGAAGAGGGAAACAACCCAGACCGCCAGCUAAGGUCCCAAAGUCAUGGUUAAGUGGGAAACGAUGUGGGAAGGCCCAGACAGCCAGGAUGUUGGCUUAGAAGCAGCCAUCAUUUAAAGAAAGCGUAAUAGCUCACUGGUCGAGUCGGCCUGCGCGGAAGAUGUAACGGGGCUAAACCAUGCACCGAAGCUGCGGCAGCGACGCUGAUGCGUUGUUGGGUAGGGGAGCGUUCUGUAAGCCUGUGAAGGUGUACUGUGAGGUAUGCUGGAGGUAUCAGAAGUGCGAAUGCUGACAUAAGUAACGAUAAAGCGGGUGAAAAGCCCGCUCGCCGGAAGACCAAGGGUUCCUGUCCAACGUUAAUCGGGGCAGGGUGAGUCGACCCCUAAGGCGAGGCCGAAAGGCGUAGUCGAUGGGAAACAGGUUAAUAUUCCUGUACUUGGUGUUACUGCGAAGGGGGGACGGAGAAGGCUAUGUUGGCCGGGCGACGGUUGUCCCGGUUUAAGCGUGUAGGCUGGUUUUCCAGGCAAAUCCGGAAAAUCAAGGCUGAGGCGUGAUGACGAGGCACUACGGUGCUGAAGCAACAAAUGCCCUGCUUCCAGGAAAAGCCUCUAAGCAUCAGGUAACAUCAAAUCGUACCCCAAACCGACACAGGUGGUCAGGUAGAGAAUACCAAGGCGCUUGAGAGAACUCGGGUGAAGGAACUAGGCAAAAUGGUGCCGUAACUUCGGGAGAAGGCACGCUGAUAUGUAGGUGAAGUCCCUCGCGGAUGGAGCUGAAAUCAGUCGAAGAUACCAGCUGGCUGCAACUGUUUAUUAAAAACACAGCACUGUGCAAACACGAAAGUGGACGUAUACGGUGUGACGCCUGCCCGGUGCCGGAAGGUUAAUUGAUGGGGUCAGCGCAAGCGAAGCUCUUGAUCGAAGCCCCGGUAAACGGCGGCCGUAACUAUAACGGUCCUAAGGUAGCGAAAUUCCUUGUCGGGUAAGUUCCGACCUGCACGAAUGGCGUAAUGAUGGCCAGGCUGUCUCCACCCGAGACUCAGUGAAAUUGAACUCGCUGUGAAGAUGCAGUGUACCCGCGGCAAGACGGAAAGACCCCGUGAACCUUUACUAUAGCUUGACACUGAACAUUGAGCCUUGAUGUGUAGGAUAGGUGGGAGGCUUUGAAGUGUGGACGCCAGUCUGCAUGGAGCCGACCUUGAAAUACCACCCUUUAAUGUUUGAUGUUCUAACGUGGACCCGUGAUCCGGGUUGCGGACAGUGUCUGGUGGGUAGUUUGACUGGGGCGGUCUCCUCCUAAAGAGUAACGGAGGAGCACGAAGGUUGGCUAAUCCUGGUCGGACAUCAGGAGGUUAGUGCAAUGGCAUAAGCCAGCUUGACUGCGAGCGUGACGGCGCGAGCAGGUGCGAAAGCAGGUCAUAGUGAUCCGGUGGUUCUGAAUGGAAGGGCCAUCGCUCAACGGAUAAAAGGUACUCCGGGGAUAACAGGCUGAUACCGCCCAAGAGUUCAUAUCGACGGCGGUGUUUGGCACCUCGAUGUCGGCUCAUCACAUCCUGGGGCUGAAGUAGGUCCCAAGGGUAUGGCUGUUCGCCAUUUAAAGUGGUACGCGAGCUGGGUUUAGAACGUCGUGAGACAGUUCGGUCCCUAUCUGCCGUGGGCGCUGGAGAACUGAGGGGGGCUGCUCCUAGUACGAGAGGACCGGAGUGGACGCAUCACUGGUGUUCGGGUUGUCAUGCCAAUGGCACUGCCCGGUAGCUAAAUGCGGAAGAGAUAAGUGCUGAAAGCAUCUAAGCACGAAACUUGCCCCGAGAUGAGUUCUCCCUGACUCCUUGAGAGUCCUGAAGGAACGUUGAAGACGACGACGUUGAUAGGCCGGGUGUGUAAGCGCAGCGAUGCGUUGAGCUAACCGGUACUAAUGAACCGUGAGGCUUAACCUU
rnacentral:rRNA from 1 species